rnacentral:rRNA from 1 species
CUGGGUUGGAACCCUCCAGAAGUCCGCAGAGAUGUGGAUGUGCCCGCAAGGGAAUUGGAUGUCCAGGUGCUGCAUGGCUGUCGUCAGCUCGUGUCGUGAGAUGUUGGGUUAAGUCCCGCAACGAGCGCAACCCUUGUCGUUAGUUGCCAGCGGUUCGGCCGGGCACUCUAACGAGACUGCCGGUGUUAAACCGGAGGAAGGUGGGGAUGACGUCAAGUCCUCAUGGCCCUUAUGCCCAGGGCUACACACGUGCUACAAUGACCGGUACAAAGGGUUGCAAACCCGCGAGGGCAAGCCAAUCCCAAAAAACCGGCCUCAGUUCAGAUUGAAGUCUGCAACUCGACUUCAUGAAGUCGGAAUCGCUAGUAAUCCCUGAUCAGCAGGCAGGGGUGAAUACGUUCCC